UCGGUGGGAGGCGCUGUAUUUAAUUGUUGGAGUCAAUGAUCUUGAGGUCCAACCGUGACAACAUCUACAUACCUGCAGCAGCCGUCCUACUGACUUGUACAUUAAUAGCCGACAAAUUGAACUGUGUCAUCUUGGAAGAGUGUGUCAACAGAAUUCUAUCCAACCGCCAGUCGGUGACAUUGCCAGAAUUAAAACUGCAUUGGGCCACUCGCAGGAACCUCCUUAUUUAUGGACCAUCGGUGGGAGGCGCUGUAUUUAAUUGUUGGAGUCAAUGAUCUUGAGGUCCAACCGUGACAACAUCUACAUACCUGCAGCAGCCGUCCUACUGACUUGUACAUUAAUAGCCGACAAAUUGAACUGUGUCAUCUUGGAAGAGUGUGUCAACAGAAUUCUAUCCAACCGCCAGUCGGUGACAUUGCCAGAAUUAAAACUGCAUUGGGCCACUCGCAGGAACCUCCUUAUUUAUGGACCAUCGGUGGGAGGCGCUGUAUUUAAUUGUUGGAGUCAAUGAUCUUGAGGUCCAACCGUGACAACAUCUACAUACCUGCAGCAGCCGUCCUACUGACUUGUACAUUAAUAGCCGACAAAUUGAACUGUGUCAUCUUGGAAGAGUGUGUCAACAGAAUUCUAUCCAACCGCCAGUCGGUGACAUUGCCAGAAUUAAAACUGCAUUGGGCCACUCGCAGGAACCUCCUUAUUUAUGGACCAUCGGUGGGAGGCGCUGUAUUUAAUUGUUGGAGUCAAUGAUCUUGAGGUCCAACCGUGACAACAUCUACAUACCUGCAGCAGCCGUCCUACUGACUUGUACAUUAAUAGCCGACAAAUUGAACUGUGUCAUCUUGGAAGAGUGUGUCAACAGAAUUCUAUCCAACCGCCAGUCGGUGACAUUGCC